UACGUAGGGGGCAAGCGUUAUCCGGAAUUACUGGGUGUAAAGGGAGCGUAGACGGUAAUGUAAGUCUGGAGUGAAAGGCGGGGGCCCAACCCCCGGACUGCUCUGGAAACUAUGUUACUAGAGUGCAGGAGAGGUAAGCGGAAUUCCUAGUGUAGCGGUGAAAUGCGUAGAUAUUAGGAGGAACACCAGUGGCGAAGGCGGCUUACUGGACUGUAACUGACGUUGAGGCUCGGAAGCGUGGGGAGCAAACAGG
rnacentral:rRNA from 1 species